rnacentral:rRNA from 1 species
AUCAUUUGCCCUUUAAUUGGGGGCUGGUAUGAAUGGGUGAACGAGGGCUUUUCUGUCUCGUUGGUACUUAUAGAAAUUAACCCCCAGGUGAAGAGGCCUGGAUACUUAUGAAAGACAAGAAGACCCUGUCGAGCUCUGCACCCUUUUAACUCUCCACAUAUCUAGGACAGAGAGCCGCUAUAUUGGGUGCUCGUUGGGGCGACGAGAGGGAAAAAAACACACCACUUUUUUAUUAGAUUUAUCUAUCACCAAAUGACCCACUUCAUGGAUCAAGAGACAAAGCNACCGCAGGGAUAACAGGCUAAUCCUCUCAGAAGUCCCA